CCUUCGAUAGCUCAGUUGGUAGAGCGGUGGACUGUAGUUGGUGAAACAUGCAAUAGAUAUCCAUAGGUCGCUGGUUCAAAUCCGGCUCGAAGGA
rfam:Drosophila willistoni strain TSC#14030-0811.24 scf2_1100000004943 genomic scaffold, whole genome shotgun sequence.